GACGAACGCUGGCGGCGUGCCUAAUACAUGCAAGUAGAACGCUGAAGGAGGAGCUUGCUUCUCUGGAUGAGUUGCGAACGGGUGAGUAACGCGUAGGUAACCUGCCUGGUAGCGGGGGAUAACUAUUGGAAACGAUAGCUAAUACCGCAUAAGAGUAGAUGUUGCAUGACAUUUGCUUAAAAGGUGCAAUUGCAUCACUACCAGAUGGACCUGCGUUGUAUUAGCUAGUUGGUGGGGUAACGGCUCACCAAGGCGACGAUACAUAGCCGACCUGAGAGGGUGAUCGGCCACACUGGGACUGAGACACGGCCCAGACUCCUACGGGAGGCAGCAGUAGGGAAUCUUCGGCAAUGGACGGAAGUCUGACCGAGCAACGCCGCGUGAGUGAAGAAGGUUUUCGGAUCGUAAAGCUCUGUUGUAAGAGAAGAACGA
rnacentral:rRNA from 1 species